AGGACAGUCUCUCUCUCUCUCGAUGUUGAGAGGGAAGGGCCUGGUUGCUGGGGAGUGUACCUGUGUUCCUAAGGUGGAGCAGGGCUGGGGGAAGGCUGGAGGAGCUCCAGGCUGGAAACCACCCAGGCUGCAGGCCUAGUGUAAGGCUAAAAGAGAACAACUGGGCUGGAACUGACUGCGCACCUCAAACUUCUCCGCAAUGGUUGGAAUCCAAGCACCUUGACUCGGAGAGGGAAUGUGCUCUACUGCGUAAGCUGCUGCAUUAAUAAUCGAGAACCCUUGGGUCUCUUUCCAGCUCUGUCACUGACAUACUCUGUGACUUUGGGCAGUUUGUUUCAUGCCUCUGUUUCCUCUCAGUUUGACUGUGACAUUUCUUUGGCAAGGGCAAAAUCAAAAGUCAAGGUCAAAUCAAACAAUUCCCCCUCCCCUGAUUUUUUGGAACCGUCAGUGAUGCGAAAAAAAGCAGGUAUUCACCCAGCUCUACUCUGGAGCAGUUCCACGAAGCUUGAUGGGUUACACUGCUAUUAAACAGCUAAAUACGAUCUACAGCUUCGGUAUCUGAUUCCAGGCACCACCCCCAUCCCCAGGAAAGUCUUGGAGACAUCCACCUCCUAGCCACCAUGUUCAGCAAACUUGACUUAUGCUGCCACUCCAGGACACCAUCCCAAGAGCAUGGGACCAGGCCAGGCUGCAUGGAGAAGCUGUUGGGUUUAUCAUCAUGCUUCAGAGAAGGCCUCCUGUGGCUAGAUUUUUAAAGGCACUGAACACUCUCUACUCCAGCUGGAGUUAGUGGGAGCUGAAGGUGUCCAGCACCUCUGAUAAGGCUUCAUGGUGCAUGGAGAUUUUGUACCCAUCCAUUUCUUCACAACGCUCCUGUCUCUUGGGAUGGGAUUGUGAAGUGUUGGCUCUGCAGAGCAGGAAAGUCAUGGCCUAGAACUUCUGGCAUGGAACAUCAGGACAUGUCUGUGUGAGACAGACAACCCCAGGCUGCUCUGCAAGAAGCAAGGGAGAGCAUUACAAACCGGACCAUACUGGAUAGACCUGCCAAAUAUCUGAGCCUGUUCUUUAGGCUGGACCAUUCAGCUCAAGCCAGGAAUGCUUUGGUCCAGCAGAAAUCACCACAGUUGAGAGAUGCUGGCUAGGAGCCCUCUGAAUGUCAUGAACAUAAAGUAACUAGACAUGGAUCAAUCCAUCAAUGCACAGCUGUGGCUAAAUACUGCUGUGCUCACCUCGCUCCAAUUAAACUCUCAUUUCCGAUAGAUCCCUUUGUGUCUCUGACUCUCUGCCUGUCUCUGGCUGGCUCAGAGGCCUGGGUCUGGAUGCGGGUCUUCCUCGUCUGUAGGCUGCUAAUUCAAACCAGCAGUGACCAUUGAGGGAGGGAGGCUUCAGGGGCUCCUCUCGGAUACUGCCCACAGAAUUCGGACUAACUUCCCUCCUUUUCUGGCAGACUCAGCAGGAUGGUCCCGGAAGCCUGGUCAACCUUCUCACCCCUAGGUCAGAGCUAAGGAACAGUGGGCAGAAGGAAUGCACUGCCAUUGCUCUGUCCUCACCUCGGUCAGUCCAUCCAGGUUUGCUGCAGAGGUUUUCCCUCGUUCGUCGCUCUCACUCCAUCCUGCGGCAGCAGGCAGUCAAAUUCUGGGGCAGAGAUCAGAGCUGUGAAAAAUGCACCGAACUCCAGCUGGGUCAGUUACAGACUCAGGCCAGGUUCCCAAGCUGGGGCUGUUUUACCAUCAUGCCUGAAAACCAGUGGCUUUGACUUUCUCCUUUUGGGAUUCAGGGCUUGAGAACUCACAGCGGAGGAGAACCAAGCACCAAGCUCCACGCAGCUCCAUUCGCCACAGUGCAAGAGCUGCCUCUUUGCUGAGGUUUCCUCCUUCCUCUCUCAGUCCAAGACAGGUGCAGAUCGGGCUGGGAGACAGCACACAAAUUAAACCAGAAAGGUUCAGUUCAAGUUGUGGGCCGGGCCUGAAGGUCUGCUUUAAUUUGAUCUGAACUGGAAAUAGCCCUGAAAGAAAGAAAACCCCUGUGGAUGGGUUCGGGUCUGAGUGCAUAGCUGAAA